rnacentral:lncRNA from 1 species
AUCUUGAGGUCAAGGUUCCGGCUGGGCACGGCGCGAGGAGUGUUAGAGGCUUUCUCACUUUUCGUAGUUUUUCGGGGGGUGGAACCUUGCUUUGUGAUUCCUUGAGGUUCGAGGAACUGAUAACUGGGCGCGAUCUGCAACCUUAGUGUUAAACCCCAAGUGCUGUUAUAACAACUACUCGAGAUCAACAAAUAAUUGGCAAAGGCUGUGGAGGUUUUUUGAAAAGCAAAAGCUUAUGCGUAGUUGUAGGGCCAAAGAGGUGGCUAGAAGAUGUUUGGAAAAACGUGAAAAGUCCUGUAAUACUAGUUAACACAGCUUUCGUUCUGUAAUCUAAACGUGCUAAAAGAACUUAGCUUAAGUUAAUGGAAAUGAAUAAAAUUAAUCAUAAAUGAUUACGUUAUUCCAAUUGUGGACCUUAUAGGCAAUAUCUAGUUACACGCCUUUCUCAACUGCUUGCCUCUAGGAAGGCAUAAAACGGAUUCAGUAUAAAGUUAUUGCCUCCCUGAGUUCCUGGUGCUGUGUUAAGUGCUGGAAGUAUGAAGGCAAAUGGAAGUGAGAUUUGUUCCUGUCCUGCAAGAACUGUGAGCCAGGUGAAAUAGAUGACAAACCAUGACCAGCCUAAUAUAAAAUUGAAACAUACUACACACUUCCUGCCUGCCUCCCCUACUUAAUUUUACUCUAAAGCACUCAUAACCAUCUAUCAUAACAUACAUUUUUCUUGCUGAUUUUAUGGUCCGUCACUACCCCCACUAGAAUGUGAAUGUAAGCAAUGCAUGGAUUGCCUGUUUUGUGCAAGAACAGGUCCUGGUACAUAGCAAGCGCUCAAUAAAUAUUUGUUGAGUGACAGAAAUGAUUACCGGCCGGGCGCGGUGGCUCACGCCUGUAACCCCAGCACUUUGGGAGGCCGAGGCGGGUGGAUCACCUGAGGUUAGGAGUUCGAGGCCACCCUGGCCAACAUGGCAAAACCCCGUCUCUACUGAAAAUACAAAAAUAAACUAGGCGUGGUGGCAGGCGCCUGUAAUCCCAGCUACUCGGGAGGCUGAGGCAGGAGAAUCGCUUGAACCCUGGAGGCGGAGGUUGCAGUGAGCCGAGAUGGCACCACUGCACUCCAGCCUGGGCAACAAAGUGAGACAUUGUCUCAAAAAAAAAGAAAAGAAAAGAAAAGAAAUGAUUAACAUAUGAUGAGUACCAAUAGAACACAAAAUUUAGUGGGAGCACAAAUGAGAAAGUAGCACUAAUUACUACCAUCUGCAAAAUUUACAUCCUUCUAUACUUCUGCUUGCUAGGUUUCCUUACCAUUAACUAAAGUUAAUAAUACCUUUGGCCGUGCGUGAUGACGAGUGCUUGUAGUCCCAGUUACUUGGGAGACGAA